rnacentral:rRNA from 1 species
GAUGAACGCUGGCGGCGUGCCUAAUACAUGCAAGUCGAGCGAACAGACGAGGAGCUUGCUCCUCUGACGUUAGCGGCGGACGGGUGAGUAACACGUGGAUAACCUACCUAUAAGACUGGGAUAACUUCGGGAAACCGGUGCUAAUACCGGAUAAUAUAUUGAACCGCAUGGUUCAAUUGUAAAAGACGGUUUUGCUGUCACUUAUUGAUGGAUCCGCGCCGCAUUAGCUAGUUGGUAAGGUAACGGCUUACCAAGGCAACGAUGCGUAGCCGACCUGAGAGGGUGAUCGGCCAGACUGGAACUGAGACACGGUCCAGACUCCUACGGGAGGCAGCAGUAGGGAAUCUUCCGCAAUGGGCGAAAGCCUGACGGAGCAACGCCGCGUGAGUGAUGAAGGUCUUCGGAUCGUAAAACUCUGUUAUUAGGGAAGAACAAAUGUGUAAGUAACUAUGCACGUCUUGACGGUACCUAAUCAGAAAGCCACGGCUAACUACGUG